AUGGAAUUGGGGGAGGAGGUGGCGCGCGCACUGGGCGCGGGCUUCGACCUCACGUCCGACUUCCGCCUGCGCUUCGCGAAGCUCCGGCGGCGGCUCGUGGACCUCAACGAGGCCGGGGCGAGGGACGUCCCCGUCCCGGGCGGGGGCGGCGCGGUGCUGCGCGGGAUACCGCGCGACGUCGGCAUCGACAAGGGCGACCGCAUCCGCUUCCGUUCCGACGUUCUCGAGUUCAACCAGAUGUCGGAAUUACUUAAUCAGAAAUCCUCAGUCCAAGGGAAAGUUCCUUCAGGCUAUUUCAAUGCACUUUUUGAUUUAAUGGGAGCUUGGUUGACAGAUGCCAAAGAGAUUAAGUAUCUUGCUUUUGACGGCUAUUUCAUUUCGUUGUUCAACUUGAACCUAAAAGCUUCUCCGUUGGUUCUUUGCGAUGAGGUCAAAAAGGCUGUUCCAUCCAAGUGGGAUCCUGUAGCAUUAUCUUGGUUUAUCAGAACUUAUGGGACACACAUAAUUGUUGAAAUGGCAGUUGGAGGUCAGGAUGUCAUAUGUGUUAAACAAAGUCAUUCUUCAACUAUUUCAUCUGCUGAACUAAAGUUACAUCUGGAAGAUCUUGGCGAUUUUCUAUUCUCCGAUGGGAAAAAUCUCUCCCCCAUACAUCGUAAGACCAAGGAUGGCAAGAGCAAGGUGCCUGAUGUUUUUGUCAGGAUAGUGCAGCAGCCUAAUAACCUACAUCUUUCCAGUUACUCAGAAUCAUCAACCAAAGAUGGCCUGACAAUUACAUGUUCGAAAAGGGGUGGAGAUGUACGUAUACCCAGUCACUCCAAGUGGUUACCAACAGUUCCGAAGAAUCCUGACGCUAUAAUGUUCAAAUUUGUUCCCAUUACCUCUCUUCUUACUGGCAUUCCUGGUAGUGGUUACCUCAGCCAUGCCAUCAAUUUAUAUCUUCGCUAUAAACCCGAUCUUGACGACUUACAACAUUUCUUGGAGUUUCAAGUGCCUCUGCAAUGGGCACCUGUGUUCAAUGUGCUUGUCCUUGGGCCCCAGAAGAGAAAAGGCUCUUACCCUUCCUUGCAGUUCAGAUUCCUUGGCCCCAAACUUCGAGUUAACACUUCUCAGGUAUCUAGCGCCCAGAAACCUGUAGUCGGUCUUCGGUUAUAUCUUGAGGGUAGGAAGUGCAAUCAGUUGGCCAUCCAUGUCCAGCACCUCUCUAGUGUCCCAAGCAUGCUUGGAGACUCGAUGGCAUCUUCGAUGUCUGAGUGGCGUGAGUCGGAAGAUACAGACCCAGGGUACAUUGAGGCUAUCCAAUGGAAUAGUUACUCAUGCAUUUCUACAUCUGUUGUGAAGUACAACCCCGAGUGGAGUAAGAGAGUUUCUGGUGGAGUUUUCAUCGUCACUGGUGCCCAGCUCUUCACAAAGGGAACCUGGGCAAGGAAGGUGCUCCAUCUGAGGCUCCUCUACACACAUAUCCCAAAGUGCACCAUACAUAAAUCUGAGUGGACCCGAGCACCAGCAGCAUCUCAAAAGGGAAGCUUUUUUACAACAAUAAGCACAACUCUAAGCUCUCCUUUCAUGCAUCGCAACGCACAGCCUGCCCAGAAGCAUGAGCCGGCGCAGCUGAACUCAGGUGUUUACCCUGAUGGUCCACCUGUUCCGCUUCAGUCGAGGAAGCUCCUGAAGUUUGUUGACAUGUCGGAGGUGGUGAAGGGGGCGCAUGAUGUACCUGGGCAUUGGCUGGUGACAGCUGCGAAGCUUGUGAAGGAAGCUGGCAAAAUUGGAUUGCAUGUGAAGUUUGCCCUGCUCAACUAUGAUGAUACAGAACAACCGCAUGGAAGUAUCAUGAGCUACCACUGUAAAUAG
rnacentral:rRNA from 1 species